CGGCGCGGCGGGCGGACCGGCGGCGUGGAGGGAGGAAGGUUGGCUUUAAUGUCUUGCUGCCUCUAAUCUGCCUUUAAGUAGUCUCCGCUUGCGUCACUGACAGCUCAUGGACCAAUUCCAUGUUAUAUUAAAGAUGUUAAGUGUUUUCUGAAUAAAUGGGACCAUGCUUCAUCUGUGCAAGAAGACAUCUGUAUGCUUUAGACUCCCCAAGACUUUCUUUUACAGGAGUUGCAUCUCAUUCUGGAAUACCUGACAUCUCCUUUUUCAGCAGUAACCUCAUAUGCCACUCUGCAACCACAUUCACAUGCAGGAUACUUGACCUUCCUCUUGAGAAAAUUUACAGGGCUUCACACCUUGGUGAGUUUGGAAAAAAAAUUCAUUGAGUCUCUUUCACAAGACCAAUAUUCAUUUUACAUGGCUAAAAAAUUCAAAGGAAGC